GCAUUGGUGGCUCAGUGGUAGAAUUCCCGUUUUCCGUGUGGGAGACCUUGGUUCGAUUCCUGGCCAAUAUA
rnacentral:tRNA from 1 species